rnacentral:rRNA from 1 species
UUCUGAGACGCUGCGGCGUGCUUAACACAUGCAAGUCGAACGAUGAUCUCCAGCUUGCUGGGGGGAUUAGUGGCGAACGGGUGAGUAACACGUGAGUAACCUGCCCUUGACUCUGGGAUAAGCCUGGGAAACUGGGUCUAAUACCGGAUAUGACCAUUCCGCGCAUGCGGUGGUGGUGGAAAGCUUUUGCGGUUUUGGAUGGACUCGCGGCCUAUCAGCUUGUUGGUGGGGUAAUGGCCUACCAAGGCGACGACGGGUAGCCGGCCUGAGAGGGUGACCGGCCACACUGGGACUGAGACACGGCCCAGACUCCUACGGGAGGCAGCAGUGGGGAAUAUUGCACAAUGGGCGCAAGCCUGAUGCAGCGACGCCGCGUGAGGGAUGACGGCCUUCGGGUUGUAAACCUCUUUCAGUAGGGAAGAAGCCGCAAGGUGACGGUACCUGCAGAAGAAGCGCCGGCUAACUACGUGCCAGCAGCCGCGGUAAUACGUAGGGCGCAAGCGUUAUCCGGAAUUAUUGGGCGUAAAGAGCUCGUAGGCGGUUUGUCGCGUCUGCUGUGAAAGACCGGGGCUCAACUCCGGUUCUGCAGUGGGUACGGGCAGACUAGAGUGAUGUAGGGGAGACUGGAAUUCCUGGUGUAGCGGUGAAAUGCGCAGAUAUCAGGAGGAACACCGAUGGCGAAGGCAGGUCUCUGGGCAUUAACUGACGCUGAGGAGCGAAAGCAUGGGGAGCGAACAGGAUUAGAUACCCUGGUAGUCCAUGCCGUAAACGUUGGGCACUAGGUGUGGGGGACAUUCCACGUUUUCCGCGCCGUAGCUAACGCAUUAAGUGCCCCGCCUGGAG